UUUUAGCCCGGAUGGAAAUGGAAACCCCGGACUUAUAUUUGUUAGUUUUUGCGGCGUAAAAGAAGCGACUUUAGAAGCUGCUUUUAUGACUUAAAAAACAACAAAGAUAAGGAGGAGUUGCAAUGUACAGCCGGAAUAGCU
rnacentral:sRNA from 1 species